GGCCCUGUAGUGAAGUUCAUGUUGAGUUGCAAGCUCAUCGAUACACAGGAUAUGUGUCAGGGUCU
rnacentral:tRNA from 1 species